CUACAAUGUACGUUCCUCCUCUCAGUGAAGGAGAGGAGGCCAAUCUGACAUGUUCAGCUCCUUUUCCUUGUCCUGAAACUCCUCCUGAAAUAACAUGGUGGAUCAAGACAAGAGAGGGAAACAUCAUUGAUCUAAAGGACAACAUCAUCACACUGAUCACCUCCAAAAUCCUUUACCUCUCAACUUUGACCUUAACUCCAACCUCUGACCUGCACAACGCCACUGUAGGAUGUGACGUGAGCUACGGAAGCAAAAACAUCAGUACAAGUGGGACCCUCGAAGUCAUGUAUGUGAAGACUCUUCGAAUUCUGGGUAAUGGCAAAGUGAUGGAAGGUGACACUGUCAGCCUGAACUGCUCUGUUGAGAGUCACCCACCAUCAUCUGAUCCUGUAUGGAGUUUCAAUGGAACCACAGAUAUAGUCAUGAACCAAACAUCUGCUGAAUCUUUCACGAUAACCAAUGUGAGAAAGGAGCAUGCUGGGGUUUACGGCUGUAUGAGGACAUAUAGAAACAAGAUACUGAAUGCAUCCAUCACUGUCGUUGUCAUUCGUGAUACAAAUGAAUCGAAAGUGAACGAGUCCUUCAGUCCUGGAAGUGAAAACAUGCCACUGAAUGACACCAGAAAUACUACAGGUAUAGAAGAUUUCUUGAAUAAUUUGGACAUGUCAAAGAUACUCACAUUCGUGGCGGGAAUGGUGUGUUCGGCGCUCAUCUUCUCAGUUGUUUUAUGUUGUUACGUGUUUUGCCACAGGUAGGCAUAUCAUUUACUUCCUUCUCCUAAAAGCUGCCUAAAAGUUCACCAAACCACAUUU
rnacentral:lncRNA from 1 species